rnacentral:rRNA from 1 species
AUUGAACGCUGGCGGCAGGCCUAACACAUGCAAGUCGAGCGGAUGAAGGGCGCAUGCUGCUGGCUAGAGCGGCAGGGGGGAGUAUAAUGCCUAGGAGUGUGCCGUGUUGUGGGAGAAAAAGUCGGGAGACGAGCGAUAAUCGCACAUACGCUCUGGGUGAAACAGGGGGGGAGCAUGGCAGCUCGCGAUUGUAGCUGCGGCUAGGUCGGAUUAGCUAGUUGGUGGGGUAAAGGCUAACCAAGGCGACGAUCCGUAACUGGUCUGAGAGGAUGACCAGUCACACUGGAACUGAGACACGGCCCAGACUCCUACGGGAGGCAGCAGUGGGGAAUUUUGGACAAUGGGCGAAAGCCUGAUCCAGCAAUGCCGCGUGCAGGAAGAAGGUCUUCGGGUUGUAAACUGCUUUUGUACGGAACGAAACGGCUCUGGUUAAUACCCGGCUCUAUUGACGUUACCGUAAGAAUAAGCACCGGCUAACUACGUG